rnacentral:lncRNA from 1 species
GCUAGAAUAAUUGCACAAACAGAUAUUUGUAUCAUUUUCUUGGAUGAAGAAGAUCUUGCAAACAUAGAGGUGGCAGGGGUUCUAAAAUCGCCACGAUUUAAGUCAGGGAAAUGAGUCAAAGACGUCCUCAUCAAGAAUUGCCAAUAUCAAAUCGCCGACAACAAGUCUAAUAAAUAUGUUGGUUGGAUUGACAUAAGAUUUCAAUAGUGACUCUAGAAAGAAAAUA